rnacentral:rRNA from 1 species
GAUGAACGCUAGCUACAGGCUUAACACAUGCAAGUCGAGGGGUAACGAGAGGAAAGCUUGCUUUCCUUGUCGACGACCGGCGCACGGGUGAGUAACGCGUAUCCAACCUGCCCCCAACUAGGGAAUAACCUUGCGAAAGUAAGACUAAUACCCUAUAAUUUCCUCAGAUGUCAUCUGACGAGGAAUAAAGAUUUAUCGGUUGUGGAUGGGGAUGCGUCUGAUUAGCUUGUUGGCGGGGUAACGGCCCACCAAGGCAACGAUCAGUAGGGGUUCUGAGAGGAAGGUCCCCCACAUUGGAACUGAGACACGGUCCAAACUCCUACGGGAGGCAGCAGUGAGGAAUAUUGGUCAAUGGGCGGAAGCCUGAACCAGCCAAGUAGCGUGCAGGAUGACGGCCCUAUGGGUUGUAAACUGCCUUUAUACAGGAAUAAAGUUAGCCACGUGUGGUUAUUUGUAGGUACUGUAUGAAUAAGGACCGGCUAAUUCCGUGCCAGCAGCCGCCGCAGUAA